rnacentral:lncRNA from 1 species
CUUUUUGCUAUUUCUUGGGCUGCUCCCGCGGCAUAUGGAGGUUCCCAGGCUAGGGGUCCAAUCGGAGCUGUAGCCACCGGCCUACACCAAAGCCACAGCAACGUGGGAUCUGAGCCGCGUCUGCAACCUACACCACAGCUCAUGGCAACGCCGGAUCGUUAACCCACUGAGCAAGGGCAGGGACCGAACCCGCAACCUCAUGGUUCCUAGUCGGAUUCGUUAACCACUGCACCAUGACGGGAACUCCCUUUUUUCUUUCUUUCUUUUUUUUUUUCUGUCUUUUUAGGGCCGAACUUGGGGCAUAUGGAGGCUCCCAGGCUAGGGGUUCAAUCGGAGCUGGAGCUGCAGGCCUACACCACAGCCACAGCAACGCCAGAUCCGAGCCGUGUCCUAUACCACAGCUCACGGCAAUGCCAGAUCCUCAACCCACUCAGCAGGGCCAGGGAUCGAACCCACAACCUCAUGGUUCCCAGUAGGAUUCGUUUCUGCUGAGCCACAACAGGAACUCCUCAACUGUUUUCUAAUUUGGACAAGUUCUUGUGCCUGAAAGAACGGUGUGUAAAUCUGGAUGAUAAAGAUUUUUUUUCAGUUAUUCCUGAAGAAUUCCUAUAUAUCCACCAUAUGGAGAAAUUAUUGGUCUGAAUUUCAGCUGAGUAUGGUCCUUCCAAAUUAGGUAAGGAUGUACUUGUUUUUACAUCACUUGGAAAAGUUACUUGGCCAAUAACGUAUUUAAGAGUUAAAGUUUCUGUGCAUCUUAGGGUGUAGCCUGUACCCAUGGUAAAUUGCAGAAAUAGCAGUCUUUAUUGUUAAAAAGCAGAGAGCUAUGUGUAGUUAAUUGAUCCCUUUCUACAUGCUAGGAAUUAUUCUAAGCAUUUUAUAAACAUUAGCUCAUUUAAUCUACAUACUCAUUCUACAAGAUAAAAUACUAUUAUUCUUCCCAUUUUACAGCUGCAGAAAUGGAAUUACAGAGGUUAAGCUAUAUUUGCUCAAGGUCACCCAGAUAAGGAAAUGGUAAAUCUGUAAUUCAAACACAGGAAUUCUGGCUACUAAGUCUAAGCUCUUAACCAGUGGUAUACUCUGCUUCUCCAAAAACAAUUUGUAGAGUUAUUUUAUUUUGUUUUUAAGUAACUCUUACAUUGUAACUCUCAGAUCUGCCAAACCAGGAAGGAAAUCUGCUAACUGGUAGCAACCAGAAGCAUUUCCCUGUUUCUCAUCCGUCUAUUCUUCCGGUUGAUGAACAACCCAUAUAGCUAUCUUUCUUAAAUGUUUCAUUUAGCAAAAUGAAUUAGGUAUCAUCAAUUCCUUAGUGUAGUAAAGACUAAGCACUGAAGACUGAAGAAAGGUAAAUGUCUACCAAAGUGACAUGCAGAGGUAUAUGCAAAAAAAAAGUUAUUGUAGCUGAAGCCAGAAGUAGUUGUUUUCUUAUACUUAUCAGCAAUUUUUUCAUCAAAUUUAGGUUCUGCUUCAGAGUUGUCACUGCUUUUGUUUCUUUGCAUGGUGUUUCUAUAGUGAAAAGACCAUGUGCAAACUUAGAGACAUCAAGAUAUUAAAGUUGACGGUUUUGGCUGAAUCACUGGUAUUAUUAUAUAGAGAAAACUGAUCCCCAGAGAUAGUCAGUAACCACAUGUUCACAUAGCUCACCAGUUAGCUGAAGAACCUGAACCUAAGCCCAGAUUACAUUAUGAUGUUCUGUUUUAAUUCAGUAUUGCUGAAACAAAGUAAUAAAUUUUUUUAAAUUGUUAAAAUAAUCAAUUAUAUGGCUAAUUCUGACAGAAAUUUACAAUCAUCUUUAAUUUCAGAAUUCUGCAGACCUCCAUAUUUUCCAUCUGCAAUGUAAUUUCUUUUUGGAUUUUGAGUCUCUCAUGACUGUACCGGCUUCCUGCAAGAAACUUGAGGAAAUGAAAAUUUCUGGACUAUUUUUUAAACCCAUUCCAUUUGGUAAGAAUUAUAAUUGUAACAUUUUGGUUAAAGAACUUUUUCAAAAUAGCCAAAUCUUAAACAUGCAAAUGAUGUCAAAGAACAAACCAUUGCAAUGGAUACCUGAUAUUAAGUGAAUUUUCAAGGUAACGUACUUUUGUUUCUAGAUGUUUAAAUAUUUCUAGUUAUCAGAAUUGUUUGCAGUGCAAAGACUGAAUGAUCUACUUAAGUCAUACUAAUUAACUGAAUCUGAAUUAUUAAUUUCUAUCACUUAAAAUUUUUUUUUUUUAAUUUUAGGGCUGCACCCACGGCAUAUGGAGGUUCCCAGGCAAGGGGUGUAGUCGGAGCUAUAGCUGCCGGCCUACGCCAGAGCCACAGCAAUGUGGGAUCCUAGCCGCGUCUUCGACCCACACCACGGCUCACGGCAAUGCCGGAUCCUUAACCCACUGAGCAAGGCCAGGGAUCGAACCCGCAACCUCAUGGUUCUUAGUCAGAUUCGUUAACCACUGAGCCACAACGGGAACUCCAUCCUUGUCAUUUUUUAACACAGGAAAAUAUACGGGGAGUCAGUGGAAAUGUGGAGCAUAAAGCGUGAAGUUGCUCCUGCCUCUUUCCAUCUUUUGGAGGCAGCUCUGUGGGUAGGGGAGGGGCAUGGAGGCUGAGGCAGGAUCAGGGGCUAAGGAGGUGGGUAGCAUAUAACAGGGUGAUCUAGAAAGUAGCACACUUAAUAUAAUGAGAGGCAAGUUUCUUUACUGUUGGAGAAGAAAUUUAUAAAUAGUGAAAGGGGAGGAAAGAAUUUUGAGGUGUUAAAUUAGAAUUGGAAAUACCGGUGUGGACUCAUGGUUUUUAACCUAUAUUGAUGUGAUACCUGUAUCUAUAUCUCACUAUACACGCAUGUAUCCAUGUUUUUCAGCCCAGUCAACUGACAAGACUAGAAAGUACCCUAAUAGCAACGAGCAUACCAGCUAUCUAGAUCUUGACUUUGAAAUACUGGCCUCCCUAAAAGGAACCAGGGGGUCCUGGGAGAAAUGGCUAACAUAAGAACCAGGACAGGAAAGGAGAAAAUAAGCCCAUAAUAUUGUUCAUGCCAGAAAGUGUUCACAACAGGUCCAGGUGGGAGGCUGCAGUAGAGAACUUUCGAGAGAUCAAGUGAUCCAUAAUGCAUCAUGCUAAGGAGGGGGUUAAAGUGAACUGAAAACCUUGAGAAUGGUAGAUUGUGAGGCUUUAGUGUUAGAAGGCAGAGGCAGAAAUCCUUGAUGAUGGGUGGAAAAGAAAGAAGGAAAGGAAGAGGGCUGAAGACACCGAGGAGCAAGGAGAGUAUCCUGGAGGCGCUUCAAUCUAAGAGGAAGUGGCGGCGUCCCCUUGUGGCUCAGCAAGUUAAGGAUGCAGCAUUUCCCUGCUGUGGUGCAGAUUCAGUCCCUAGCCCAGGAACUUCUGCAUGCCACAGGUGAGGGCAAAAAAAUAAUGCUAAAUUUUUAUAAAUAAGAGGAAAUGGAUUUAGGAUAGGCAUUCUGGACUUCAGCGCAGAAGAGACGGGCUGGGAAGGGUGGAGGAAUGGUUGUUUAGAGGUAGCAGUGAAGAUCAAGGUGUAGGCGGACCCCUUUCUCUAGCCUUUGGAGAGGAAGAGGAAUAGUCUAUGCUACAUGGGGCCUCCUGGAAUAUGCAUGAUUUUAAGCUAUAGACAAUAAGAAACACAGUAUAGAAAAUAGCUUUUUUUUUUUUUUCCUCUUCUGAUAGCCUACACUUUAGGUGUUUUAAUAACCUGGAAGAAUUGAUCCUACUGGGGAUGGGAUCCAUCAAGUGGCUAAACUCAUCAUCCAACAGUGUCUGCACCUUCAACAUUUCUGAGUAAGCUCAUUUUCCAGGAUUUUGGAUGAUGACAGUAUGAUGGAAAUUGGUGAGCCACCCGCAGAUAAAACUGUUUCAGCUCACAUGAAAAGCCAGUGCUAUCACUCAGGCUUUCUGCUGCAAAAUGUCUACAAAGACAUUGCCCCUCUGAGAAUGUUCAGCCCAUUUCCUCAUUUUUACUAUCAUAUUGUUCCUUCUAGUGUUCUGUGGAUUUAGAUUCCUUCUGGUCAUAUCUGGAAGUAAAAGACAGCCUGCCUUUCAUUUGGUACAUUUUAGAAAUGUACCCCUUUUAAUCUUUCUAUGUCGUUAUAUUUAAAGUAUGUCUCUUAGAAAAACAUAUGGUUCAAAAAAUUUUUUUUUCUUUUUUGGCCACCCCAGGGCACAUGGAGUUCCUGGGCCAGCAACCAGAUCUCAGCUGCAAUUGCAACCUAUGCUGCAGCUGCGGCAAUGCCGGAUCCACAAGCCACUGUGCCAGGCCAGGGUUCGAACCUGCAUCCCAGUGCUCCCAAGAUGCUGCUGAUC